rnacentral:lncRNA from 1 species
AAGUGAGUAAAGAGUUCAGCCGGCAGUUCAUCUCGGCCCAGCAAGCGCAAGAGAGGGCUCGCGCAAAGCCAGGAUCUCCCCGAAGCUGCCUUUCGUACCGCACGUGGGCAAAGAAGUAACUAACAAUUGACUUUUUUCCCGCUGCCAACUGCCCGUUCCAUGCUCUAUACCUGCCACCUGCCCUCCUUGUCAUCCUCAGGCGUGUGACUCGCGACCCCGAGACCGAGAAGGACCUUUGGUGGGGCCCGUACUCGCCCAACUACGUCAUGGACGACAGGACGUUCCUGACCAACCGCGAGCGGGCCGUGGAUUACCUCAACACCCUGGAGAGGGUCUACGUGGUGGAUGCGUUCGUCAACUGGGACCCGGCGUCGCGUCUCAAGGUCCGGGUGGUCACCAGUCGCGCCUACCACGCCCUGUUCAUGUCCAAUAUGCUCAUCCGCCCCACGGCGGAGGAGCUGGCCAACUUUGGAGAGCCAGGUGAGGCGGAAGGAGGCCGAGGUGCGGAGCAGGAUAUGUAACACGUGCUGAGGCAUGUGUGUGGCGGUCUCAAAUCUCAAAUUACAGCUGUUCAUGAUUACACCCAAACAUGAAAGUGAUACCCCGCCUUGCCCGCCACAGAUUUCAUCAUUUACAACGCCGGCGCCUUCCCCGCUAACAAGUACACCAAUGUGCGUCGGGGAAAGGGUGGGGGCCGUGGAGGUGAAGGAGGGCUGUACGGAAUUGGGGGGGUACGGCAGCAGUGUCGUGUAUGUGGGAGGCCUCUGGUGUAUCGAGAAUUCAUGGCACAUGCGAAAUCCUCCAACCUGUCAGCGACACAUCUUUAAUCGUUUAAUGCUUGUUAUGUUUUCUGUGUGCAGUUCAUGACCAGUCAGACUUCGAUUGACCUGAGUCUGAAGCACAAGGAGAUGGUCAUCCUCGGCACCAUGUACGCGGGCGAGAUGAAGAAGGGAGUGUUUACGUAAGUGAGCGGUGGGACAACGAUUACCUUGUGUGGGCGAUUAUGUUGGCGGUCAUUCUUAACCACCCCGCCUCCCCCCCUCGCAGGUUGAUGCACUACCUGAUGCCCAUGCAGGGCAAGCUGUCCCUUCACUCGGGCUGCAACGUGGGCGCGGAGGACGAUGUGACGUUGUUCUUUGGACUCAGCGGAACGGGCAAAACGACGUUGUCGGCAGGUGGGCGGGCUUGAAGGAAGCAUUGCAGCAUCUGCCAGCUGUGCUUUCCUAGCAGUCUCUUUAGACACCGCAAGCGUUGUGUACGUGAUGGCGUUGGUCUGUAGCGCACCAGGACCCCCCUCCUGCCCGAGCAGCUCUCCCGUCGUCAUCUCCUCGCCCUGUCAGAUCCCAAGCGGCCCCUGAUUGGUGACGAUGAGCACGUGUGGAGCGACAACGGUGUGUUCAACAUCGAGGGCGGCUGCUACGCUAAGUGCAUCGGCCUCACCGAGGAGCGGGAGCCCGAGAUCUGGAAGGCCAUCAAGUGAGCAGCAAACGAUUAAGUAUUUACUGUGGAAUCCGAAUCCCCUAACAUUCCAAUCCACAGAUAAUAAAGUACAUUUACCACUUCAACGCUGAUUUCAGUUUGAAGGGCUUUAGUUUAAUGAUAACGUGUGACGUAUGAUGGACGCGUUAGGUUUCGGGGUCGCAUUAACGGGGGCCAUAUCCGUCGGAAAAUUUCUACAGCAACUAUGCGAUACCCUCUCCAGGUUCGGCACCGUGCUUGAGAACGUGGAGAUUGACCCCGCCACCCGCGAGGUGGACUACGAGUCGCAGAAAUUCACGGAGAACACCCGGGCUUCCUACCCCAUCGAGUACAUGGCCAAUGCGCGCAUCCCCUGCGUUGGCGGCCACCCCAAGAACGUCAUCCUGCUCGCAUGUGACGCCUUCGGUGUCCUGCCCCCCGUGAGCCGCCUGACGCUAGAGCAGGCCAUGUACCACUUCAUCAGCGGAUACACAGCCAAGGUCGCCGGCACGGAAGUGGGCGUGACGGAGCCACAGGCUACCUUCAGCGCCUGCUUCGGCUCGGCAUUCCUCAUGCUUCACCCGUACAAGUGAGUGCAGGGUAGCACUGCACCAACGUCAGUCCUUAGCGCAUCUCUCGGAUCUGUCUCAGCUUUCCGAAACCGUCACUCUGGGGCCGCUCCUUAGUCGUCUCUGAGGCUCAGGCUCAGUUAUUUGAGGCUCCAGAGGGAUCCCUUACGGGUGGUCCACGUGUUACUACAAGUUACAAGUUACAAGUGCCGCACGAGUGCGGGGGGGUCCGUCAAAGCCGGGAGGCCAUGGACUAUAUAUAUUGAAAGUUGAUUACACCGUACGACCGACGGCGGUUUGGGUCCUGCCAACUAGACCCCUCCUCAUCCAGUCACCCAACAUCCGUAGAGACAGAUCAGCCACCACCACCAUCUCAGCAUGCGAAAUUUAGUCCAUCAACUAGACCACAUCUCCACACCUCAGCAGCGUUAGUAAACCUAGACCUCCCGAACAAUGUCGGGGGUCUGACCAGGAAUCGAACCCGGAACCUUCAUAUACACAAAGGCGCCACUAGACCAGACCAUUACUAUGUGAUCUAUGAGCUUAAGAGCCUAAGAGCCGCUUCCGUCCCUUCCGUUAGUAACUCAUCGCUGCCUGGCCUGGCCGACAUUUAGACAUUGGGGCAAUGUUUUAUUAACCCAACCGCCCGCCUCUCGUCAGGUACGCCACUAUGCUUGCUGAGAAGAUGGCCAAGCACGGCACCACCGCCUGGCUGCUCAACACCGGCUGGACCGGCGGAAAGUGAGUCGUGCGGCUGUGGGGGCGCUGGCGGCGGUAGGGGGGCAGGUGGACUGUGCGCUCAAAUCGUUCCAACCUGACCACCUGCCCUGUUGUUGUUCCUCGCUGUCCUCUUGUUGAUCACCAGAUCUCAUGCGACCCCCUGGACCCCCUCCACAACAGGUACGGUGUCGGCAAGCGCAUGAGCCUCAAGCACACGCGCGCUAUCAUCGACGCCAUUCACAGCGGAGAACUCGACCAGGCCGAGUUCGUCACCACGCCAAUCUUCGGACUGCAGGUGCGCGGGGGUGUUGUUUGGACGGUUUCAUGUAGUUAGCUUCUUUCCACUCGCCCCCUUGCUCCUAAUGACGCACUUCCUAAGUGCUCAUCACGCAUAUAUAUCCGCCUGCCUGCUGUUCCACGUCGUAGGUGCCCACGUCCAUCAGCGGUGUCCCUUCGGAGGUGCUGUGUCCCGAGAACGUGUGGGGUGACAAGAACGAGUUCGCCACCACCCUCAACAAGCUGGGCCACAUGUUCGUGAAGAACUUCGAGCACUUCCACGACGGCGACGCGUUCGUGGGUGCCGACAUGGCCGCCCGCAUCCUCACCGGGGGGCCCAAGCCGCUGCCGGAGGACAACGUCGCCAAGACAGGCUUCAACCUUUAAGCUCUAGCCAUGCGUUGACUUGCAUUUUUGUUGCUUUGCUUUGUAAUUUUUUUUUACUGCCAGCUACAUGAUGCAUGGAAUGAUCCGUGGAUCCUCAGCGGUUCAGGCCUUCGCUUUCAAGGAAUAAUAAUGAGACGUCAGCUGCGGGGCCGGGGCGCUGUCCCCCUGGCCCGGGCAUUCAGACAACUGGCUCUCACUUGGGCCUUUUUCUUGUCUUUUUUUGAUGUCACUGAAAGGCGUUGCGAUUAUGUUCGGUGGAUAGGUUGCGCAAGGCUGAUGGUUGCUGCAUUUUAGGUUCGCAUGAACGAGCAGCGCUUGGCUUGGGUUGUUUUUUUGUUUUGUUCAUGUUGGGCUUGGGCGCUUUACCUUCCAUGGGCGCUGUUGAGCAGUUAGGGCCGGUUCUGCAGCGCGCAGUGAGCUGAACAAGUUGAAAAACGGGGGCCUGGACACCCGCCACAAGCUACUUGAUGGAUUUGUUGCGUGCUUUGUCCGCGAGGUAGAAUUCGCGAGGGACCAACAAAGCUCUGCUCGUAAUGGUCUGGUUGGCGCAGCUGAAGCUCGUGCUCUGGGUGCUCUUUUUUUGAGUUUUGUUUUGCAUAUCAUCGCAUCUUAGGCACGUGCGUCUCAAACGAGUCCAUUCAUAUCCGUACAGAGCACAAUUUGCUCGGCUGGUGAAAAUGUUGCCUUGUCGCGAUCUUCAUGUCGUUUGAUGGGUUUUUAACCAAGUGGUGAUGCGCCUCAACUUCGUGGUGGAUCCUUAAGUAGGCUAUAUAUGUGGUGUUACGUCUUAAGUUUUGAGCUUUUGUUGCAGAGCCGUCGUGCUUCAUGGGGUAGCUAGAAGUGUUACUGCGAUCGGUUGUUCAGGUGCAGAUGCUGCUGACAAGCAACAGACCGAAAACGCGUACGUGGAAAAUAAACAGGUGCCCUCUGUGCAUCCGGUGCCCAUUCGCUCAAAGUGGAGGUCGGUAGGCCGUUCACGUGAUUGAUGCCUUGAUGAUGUGCACUUCAUCUGGGUCACACUUGGCAGCACAGGUUUUUACGCACGUCAGGCCUGGGCGUGUGGGCGAGUGUUUGCUGGAUGAACUGAACACGUUAAUGGAUGCUAAUGAACAUACAAGACAUCAUGUAUGGAAUACAGAUACGUGCUCCUCAUUGGUACCUUCUGGUACAAGGUUUGAUUUCGUCGGAAUUGAACGCAGGAUAUACAUGAUACGGAACCCCGGUCUUGAUAAGGACACGUGCAAAACACAUGUGUAUGACAUGGAUAUUCCCGGCGGUUCAGAUACAAGACGCACGACUGUAUAUUAUUGUUCUCCUAGCCCGACAAGCAACACAUUUGAGGAGGUUCGAUGCAUUAUGACAUCUAAACAUAACUUUCCGGGAACGAGAAAUUUGUCACACAUCUGCAGGGCAGAAACCCGUUGUCAAGCUCCUCUCGAGUUCCCUCAGGGCUCGCUUGAGCUUGUUGCUCCCGGACAGUUGGACAACGCAACAUGUGUGGUAUUUCAGCAAUGUGAAGUGAGGUGCCAUGAAGGGAUCACCCGGGUGGCCGGUAACGUUCAUACGUAAGAACAUUUCAUGUCCUGUUCCGGUGAAGGAUAGUACACAGCAGUCUUGCCUCCAAGCUAAACUGUUACAAGGAAAGAAGAAAUUACGCUGCCAAGCUGCUGAAGUCAGCGAGGAUUUUACGAAGUUAAGCGCGCGCGGCUGUGUAUCCUGCGAUUCCACUAGCCAAAAAUAUGUUGAAUUCAAUAUGCUGAUAUGUGCUAAUUUAAUGUGCUACUGCAUCGCAUGCGCCGCUGUCCGCGGUCGACUGUCUGCAUGUUAUAGCAUCUUGCAUUCCACAUCCAAUUAGGCGCCAGAUUAAGAUACCGACAGCUUUAGUCAGAAUGACAAAGCAAAGCACGCUGGUCAUCUGGGCAGCUGCAGUGUGCAUGGAGUAUUUAUUUGUUUGGCCGCGCCCAUUUGCUCGCGUUUUAAGGAGAGCUCGCACUUGUCUCGCAUUAUCCAUUCGCAACAUACGUGAAUAGGGAUACAUGCGAAAGCAAAGUGAGCUCGCAUGCUCCUGUCCUCGGCUCCUUGUUCCUCGCGCAAGGAAACCGGUUGGUUUAAAUCCGUUGACCGUUAACGGGCGACACUGGGACAACUUCCUGGGAAGGAGACCUUGCAGUAAAAGCUUUGGCGAAAAUGUAUAACACAAAGACUGAAACGUCUUGCCCGUAUUCCCAUAGAGCAGUCAUGCUAUGCACUAUCCAGAAUUGCACGGCUCGCAACUGCCUCACGCAAAGUCGUUGGAAAUCUCACUUCACAACACAACAGGCAAAAGAAAAUUGUCAACUCUCAUGGGAUUUAAGUUUUGACCGGUCAGCAAGGGCUCCUCGACGUGCAGCAAGACCAUCGGGAAACUGCAGCGCGCUAAAAUGUCAUCAAUGUCUAUGUAAAUUUAGGGAUUUUCUUUUUUAUGUCCUGGACAAAACCCUAGAUAUACGCACGAUAACGUAAACCUCAAACGAGAAGUUAAGCGUCCGGUUUUGGUUAAUGACUUAGCUACAGGCAGAUACGUGUCAGAACCCUUAAGCACAGACGCAAGACUGCAGGGCACAUCAAUUUAUGGUUUUACGUAACUACAGGACAUUCUCCAACCAACUGUACCGCCAGGUACAGCCAUUCACCAAGACAACAGAUCUAAGCUCAGAAAAUCUUCUAGGAUGAAAAGAAGAGACCAAUAAUCGAUUUGUAGGAUUCCCCAGAUGUUUUGAAUAAAGUUAUGGUGUCGGAGCUCGGCCCUCCCUCGAGCGUGUCCGCCAGGCAAAUAUUCUUUAAGAGCAAUUAUCUGUACACACUCAUCAUCGUUUCGUUCCCCAACUCACUGAUACUUUAGCAUUCAUAUAUUUUGGUUUAUUGAAUUUGGUACGCCUAUCGACGCAAGCAUGCUGCGGGUGAGUCGACUCGAGAGUAGCGUGCAUGUGGCGCUAGGCCAUUUGAUGUAUUCCAGAUUAGUCCUCUAGCAGAAAUGUUACCUCUCUAGCAGUGGUGCGUGACACAGGUCACUUGACCUCGUCCUUCCGAAUUUUAACCGCGGACGGUUAUCUAUCGGAACACAGGCGUUACGGUGUUCGCUUGAGGGGCGCCACUCCGGCGAUUUAGUUCUGAUUUCCAGCACUGCAUGUUUAAUUCUUUGCUGACAUCUACGUUCAGCAUGGCUGUCCAAGUCGCACAGAUACUGCAGUUCUGUUUCCGUCAUGUAUCGGAAUUGCAUCUCACAUAACGUAGAUUCAAAGAAAUUUUGCAGCUCAUGUUAAAAUUCUGUUUGCAGAUGGCUCAGGACAACCUGCCUGCUGGCUCCGACAUGGAGUUUCUCCUGAGCAGCAAGUUCACCAGGGAGUCGGGCCUUGCCCCGAAAAGUAUCUACCGCAAUCUGUCUCCGCCCCAGCUCUAUGAGCUGGUAAGUAGAAGGAACAACUAUAAUAUUGAUAGUUUCCAUUAUCGGUGUUAAUUGAUGCUGUUCCGUAAUUUUCAUACAGGCUCUGGCCUUCGAGCCCGGCACGCACAUCACAUCGACUGGUGCCCUGGCGACAAGGUCCGGUAAGUCCUUAGGUGCUAGCUGUUUUUCGCGCAGAUAUAUAAAACUCAGCUGUUUCUCCGCUGCAUGCACUUGACCUGCACUUAAUAGUACCUGCGCAAGACCUUGGGCUUGUCUUUCGCAUCCUCGCUUGUAUAGCUUCCCCUCACGGCUUUUGCCCCAUAUUCCCUACGCUGUGCUCACACAGGCGAGAAGAUGGGUCGCUGCCCCCAGGACAAGUAAGUUUGUGGCUUGCGGGCGAGCGCCAACUGGUACACGUGUGUGACCUUUGCUCGUCCCCUGGUCUUCUAUAUAUAGACUAUCGAUAUGUGUAGUUGGACUCCAGAAUAGUAGAUGAGAAAGUAAUGGAUUUGCCUGCGGGCUGCUGAGGUUAUCCUGCUUUUCCUCACAUGACCAUUUGCUAUCCUGAUAUGCAUGGCCUGCUGCUUACCCCCUUGCUUUCCUCCCGUUCCAUGCUCUCUACUUGCCACCUGCCCUCCUCCUUGUCCUCAGGCGUGUGACUCGCGACCCCGAGACCGAGAAGGACCUUUGGUGGGGCCCGUACUCGCCCAACUACGUCAUGGACGACAGGACGUUCCUGACCAACCGCGAGCGGGCCGUGGAUUACCUCAACACCCUGGAGAGGGUCUACGUGGUGGAUGCGUUCGUCAACUGGGACCCGGCGUCGCGUCUCAAGGUCCGGGUGGUCACCAGUCGCGCCUACCACG